rnacentral:ncRNA from 1 species
UAUAAACCGAUGAAGGAGAGGAGUACCUCUUUACGAUGUCUUCCAGAGAGCUGCGGUGGUGAGAUGCAGUAGAAUAGUAGGAUGGGAAUGGACUCCUGAGGGCACAGUCAAAUGCAUUUGAACUAUGCAGAGUAUUCUGUGACGUGUGGCAUACGUCAGUUGUCGUGAAUAUGAAGGUAUUCAGCUAAGAGCAUGGGUCGUUUCCAUGAAUUCAGGGUGGCACCGCGGAUAAUAAAGUAUAUUCGUCCUUGAU